GGCCGGUUGUGGAGCUGGACGAUAUCAUUCUCACGGAGUUUUGGGGGAAUAUGGAGGAGGACGAGCAGGUCGUGUCGCAGNAGCUGAGUCUUCAGGAGCAGCAACCUGCCCUUGACUUGUCUAAGGAAGCCAUCGCCCUCAGCCGAAUCCUGAAGGACAUCCUNUCGGAUGAGGAUAUGGUGCCCCCCGAAGAAGGCCGUCCUUCCAAGGAGAUGAUGUCCGCAAGCCAGGAGACAGCAGGACUGGGNCAAAAGGCCAGCGUGGCAGGAAGGGGGAGCGACAUCAUUCCGGCAACAGCGUCCCAAGAGCAGACGGGGCCUGGGGUGCAGGAGGACCCCACCGUUGAUGCUCCGGUAGUACUGCCUGACGAGGAAGCCGUUGCNCCCCCUGAUGGCGAAGGGGUGGUAGGAGACGUCCAGGCUGAACCGUUACAGGUGACCGUGGAGAAGGAGGAGGUUGACAGAGAAGGAGGUCCAGAGAGGCUUUCUUUGGCUUCCCUGUCUUUGGUGGCUUCCAGCUUAGAGCAGGCGCUAGACGAACAGCUGAGCCCUGUGCCUGUCCCGGAAGCUGACUCGGAAGGCCAGGAUGCUGCUGCACCCAGGGACAGCGGUGCAGAAGGAGCAGAUGCCCAGGAGGAACAAGAAGAGAAACCAGAAGCAGAGGGUCGUCCCACCCUAAGCCCAAGCAUCCUGGUGGAAGAAACAGUUGCAGAUGCAGCAUUGCCUCUCCCCACCGAGCAAGUCAGCGAAAAGCUCAGCAAGGCACCGCAACUGAUAUACGGGGAGAUGUGGUCAGGUGAAGGCAGCCAUCCUUGUGCUUCCAUGUCUAAAUCCUGCAGUUUACAGGUAGCUGCUGGAGGACUGAUCCUUCCCUCCCUGAAGCUGUCCGUUCUGUGGCCCCCCCAGGUNACCUUCAGACCGCCGACCUGGCCUUCAGGUACACAGACUACGGCAAGGAAAUCCGGGAAGACUGGAACCACGAGAACACCAGGUUUCCAGGUGCAAUGCUUUACAGGGACAGUAUCAAGAACCCCAGCUCAUGUUAUGAUACCCGUUCGGCCACUGGCUUUCUAA
rnacentral:lncRNA from 1 species